UGGCAGCCUAUUUCCCCAGGUCCUGCUU
rnacentral:piRNA from 1 species